rnacentral:misc_RNA from 1 species
GGAUGUCCCUUUUAUGAAGCACGAGAAGAGACCAUCGAGCAUACACUUUUUUGUGCAAUCAAGCUCGAGUCACUUGGUUUGCUAGUCUAUGCAACUAUAAGCCUAAUCCAGUGGGGUUUACAUCUUUGGGAGAUGGUGGUCCUCUCUGUCUCAUGAUUUUCAGGAUGAUUCUUUCUCCCUCUGUUUGAUAGCUAUUUCAUGUUGGAUAAUCUAGUAGCAGAGCUAUAUUAGAUCGAGGGAUCUUAAUUUGGUGGCAGCUACUAGGCAUAGAUCUUGUUCAGCCUCAGAACUUCUUCAAAGUUUGUCUCAAAAAAGCUUGGAUUUAAGCCAUGUAUCUCCUAUUUUGGGUUUUAC